AUGAACGCUGGCGGCGUGCCUAAUACAUGCAUGUCGAGCGAACAGACGAGGAGCUUGCUCCUCUGACGUUAGCGGCGGACGGGUGAGUAACACGUGGAUAACCUACCUAUAAGACUGGGAUAACUUCGGGAAACCGGAGCUAAUACCGGAUAAUAUAUUGAACCGCAUGGUUCAAUAGUGAAAGACGGUUUUGCUGUCACUUAUAGAUGGAUCCGCGCCGCAUUAGCUAGUUGGUAAGGUAACGGCUUACCAAGGCGACGAUGCGUAGCCGACCUGAGAGGGUGAUCGGCCACACUGGAACUGAGACACGGUCCAGACUCCUACGGGAGGCAGCAGUAGGGAAUCUUCCGCAAUGGGCGAAAGCUUGACGGAGCAACGCCGCGUGAGUGAUGAAGGUCUUCGGAUCGUAAAACUCUGUUAUUAGGGAAGAACAAAUGUGUAAGUAACUAUGCACGUCUUGACGGUACCUAAUCAGAAAGCCACGGCUAACUACGUG
rnacentral:rRNA from 1 species